rnacentral:rRNA from 1 species
UUAAUUUGAGAGUUUGAUCCUGGCUCAGGACGAACGCUGGCGGCGUGCCUAAUACAUGCAAGUCGAACGAACUCUGGUAUUGAUUGGUGCUUGCAUCAUGAUUUACAUUUGAGUGAGUGGCGAACUGGUGAGUAACACGUGGGAAACCUGCCCAGAAGCGGGGGAUAACACCUGGAAACAGAUGCUAAUACCGCAUAACAACUUGGACCGCAUGGUCCGAGUUUGAAAGAUGGCUUCGGCUAUCACUUUUGGAUGGUCCCGCGGCGUAUUAGCUAGAUGGUGGGGUAACGGCUCACCAUGGCAAUGAUACGUAGCCGACCUGAGAGGGUAAUCGGCCACAUUGGGACUGAGACACGGCCCAAACUCCUACGGGAGGCAGCAGUAGGGAAUCUUCCACAAUGGACGAAAGUCUGAUGGAGCAACGCCGCGUGAGUGAAGAAGGGUUUCGGCUCGUAAAACUCUGUUGUUAAAGAAGAACAUAUCUGAGAGUAACUGUUCAGGUAUUGACGGUAUUUAACCAGAAAGCCACGGCUAACUACGUGCCAGCAGCCGCGGUAAUACGUAGGUGGCAAGCGUUGUCCGGAUUUAUUGGGCGUAAAGCGAGCGCAGGCGGUUUUUUAAGUCUGAUGUGAAAGCCUUCGGCUCAACCGAAGAAGUGCAUCGGAAACUGGGAAACUUGAGUGCAGAAGAGGACAGUGGAACUCCAUGUGUAGCGGUGAAAUGCGUAGAUAUAUGGAAGAACACCAGUGGCGAAGGCGGCUGUCUGGUCUGUAACUGACGCUGAGGCUCGAAAGUAUGGGUAGCAAACAGGAUUAGAUACCCUGGUAGUCCAUACCGUAAACGAUGAAUGCUAAGUGUUGGAGGGUUUCCGCCCUUCAGUGCUGCAGCUAACGCAUUAAGCAUUCCGCCUGGGGAGUACGGCCGCAAGGCUGAAACUCAAAGGAAUUGACGGGGGCCCGCACAAGCGGUGGAGCAUGUGGUUUAAUUCGAAGCUACGCGGAGAACCUUACCAGGUCUUGACAUACUAUGCAAAUCUAAGAGAUUAGACGUUCCCUUCGGGGACAUGGAUACAGGUGGUGCAUGGUUGUCGUCAGCUCGUGUCGUGAGAUGUUGGGUUAAGUCCCGCAACGAGCGCAACCCUUAUUAUCAGUUGCCAGCAUUAAGUUGGGCACUCUGGUGAGACUGCCGGUGACAAACCGGAGGAAGGUGGGGAUGACGUCAAAUCAUCAUGCCCCUUAUGACCUGGGCUACACACGUGCUACAAUGGAUGGUACAACGAGUUGCGAACUCGCGAGAGUAAGCUAAUCUCUUAAAGCCAUUCUCAGUUCGGAUUGUAGGCUGCAACUCGCCUACAUGAAGUCGGAAUCGCUAGUAAUCGCGGAUCAGCAUGCCGCGGUGAAUACGUUCCCGGGCCUUGUACACACCGCCCGUCACACCAUGAGAGUUUGUAACACCCAAAGUCGGUGGGGUAACCUUUUAGGAACCAGCCGCCUAAGGUGGGACAGAUGAUUAGGGUGAAGUCGUAACAAGGUAGCCGUAGGAGAACCUGCGGCUGGAUCACCUCCUUUCUAAGGAA